AGUGAACGCUGGCGGUAGGCCUAACACAUGCAAGUCGAACGGCAGCACAGUAAGAGCUUGCUCUUACGGGUGGCGAGUGGCGGACGGGUGAGGAAUACAUCGGAAUCUACUUGUUCGUGGGGGAUAACGUAGGGAAACUUACGCUAAUACCGCAUACGACCUACGGGUGAAAGCAGGGGAUCUUCGGACCUUGCGCGAUUGAAUGAGCCGAUGUCGGAUUAGCUAGUUGGCGGGGUAAAGGCCCACCAAGGCGACGAUCCGUAGCUGGUCUGAGAGGAUGAUCAGCCACACUGGAACUGAGACACGGUCCAGACUCCUACGGGAGGCAGCAGUGGGGAAUAUUGGACAAUGGGCGCAAGCCUGAUCCAGCCAUACCGCGUGGGUGAAGAAGGCCUUCGGGUUGUAAAGCCCUUUUGUUUGGAAAGAAAAGCAGCAGGUUAAUACCCCGCUGUUCUGACGGUACCCAAAGAAUAAGCACCGGCUAACUUCGUG
rnacentral:rRNA from 1 species